AUUGAACGCUAGCGGGAUGCCUUACACAUGCAAGUCGAACGGAGUGGCGAACGGGUGAGUAAUGUAUCGGAACGUGCCCAGUAGCGGGGGAUAACUACGCGAAAGCGUAGCUAAUACCGCAUACUAUUGGACUGGCCGAUAUGGGAUUAGCUAGUUGGUGGGGUAACGGCUCACUAAGGUGAAGAACCGUAGCUGGUUUGAGAGGACGACCAGCCACACUGGGACGGAGACACGGCCCAGACUCCUACGGGAGGAAGCAGUAGGGAAUUUUGGGCAAUGGGGGAAACCCUGAUCCAGCCAUCCCGCGUGUGCGAUGAAGGCCUUCGGGUUGUAAAGCACUUUUGUCAGGAAAGCGGUACCUGCAGAAUAAGCACCGGCUAACUACGUGCCAGCAGCCGCGGUAAUAC
rnacentral:rRNA from 1 species